UCCUCCUCUGGUAGUAGGUAUUAAAAACUGCUAUCACUCCUUGAUCCAUUGGUUGGAUCAAAGAGGUGGUGUUUGGAGGGAGAAACACUGCUUUGAUAUUGGGAUGAAGACCGCCAAUAAAAGGAGGAUGUCCAGGAGCUUUAUCAACAGUAAGCAAAAUCUUGACAGAUUUCAUGAACAUAAUGAAAUGGUGAUCUUACCCCGCUGGGUAUUGGAGUGGUUUGCUCUGCUGCAGUAGGAACUGGAUGUUACAGGGGUCAUGUGUUCCUAAUGGAGUACCUAAUGAGAGUCCCUGGAUCAUCUUUUGGAGGAGACUUGACCAACCCACACUGAUGUGAGCAAUAAAUAAACUUUCAGUCU